rnacentral:rRNA from 1 species
CCUACGGGAGGCUGCAGUGAGGAAUAUUGGGCAAUGGGCGAAAGCCUGACCCAGCAACGCCGCGUGGAGGAAGACGGCCUUCGGGUUGUAAACUCCUUUUGACGGGGAAGAGAGAGGACGGUACCCGUCGAAUAAGUCACGGCUAACUACGUGCCAGCAGCCGCGGUAAUACGUAGGUGACAAGCGUUAUCCGGAAUUACUGGGCGUAAAGCGCACGCAGGCGGCAGAUUAAGUCUGACGUGAAAUCUCCUGGCUUAACUGGGAGGGGUCGUUGGAAACUGGUCAGCUUGAGGUGGUGAGAGGGGUGUAGAAUUCCCGGUGUAGUGGUGGAAUGCGUAGAUAUCGGGAGGAAUACCAGUGGCGAAAGCGACACCCUGGCACUAGCCUGACGCUCAUGUGCGAAAGCGUGGGGAGCAAACGGGCUUAGAUACCCGUGUAGUC